rnacentral:tRNA from 1 species
GGCUUCAUAGUGUAGUGGUCAACACGCUGGGCGCGUAUUCCAGAGGUCCGUGGUUCGAAUCCCGGCGAGGGCA